rnacentral:rRNA from 1 species
AUUGAACGCUGGCGGCAGGCCUAACACAUGCAAGUCGAACGAGUGGCGGACGGGUGAGUAAUGUGUGGGAAACUGCCCGAUGGAGGGGGAUAACUACUGGAAACGGUAGCUAAUACCGCAUACCAUCGGAUGUGCCCAGAUGGGAUUAGCUAGUAGGUGGGGUAACGGCUCACCUAGGCGCCGAUCCCUAGCUGGUCUGAGAGGAUGACCAGCCACACUGGACCUGAGACACGGUCCAGACUCUGACGGGAGGCAGCAUUGGGGAAUAUUGCACAAUGGGCGCAAUCUUUAUGCAGCAAUGCCGCGUGUAUGAAGAAGGUCUUCUGGUUUUAAAGUACUUUCAGCGAUGAGGCGUUACUCACAGAAGAAGCACCGGCUAACUCCGUGCCAGCAGCCGCGGUAAUUC